rnacentral:rRNA from 1 species
UACGAAGGGGCUAGCGUUGUUCGGAAUUACUGGGCGUAAAGGGCGCGUGAGGCGGCGUGUUCAAGUCAGGCGUGAAAGCCCCGGGCUCAAGCCUGGGAACCGCGCUUGAGACUGGCAUGCUCGAGUUCGGGAGAGGAUGGUGGAAUUCCCGAGUGUAGAGGUGAAAUUCGUAGAUAUUGGGAAGAACACCGAUGGACGAAGGCAGCCAUCUGGACCGACACUGACGCUGAGGCGCGAAAGCGUGGGGAGCAAACAGG